GCCCAGUCUCGCCCCGCCCUGCUCUCUCCUCCUCGUUCUCAAUGGAAGAGCUGCAUCAGCGGCGCAGAGGCAGUGUAGCAAGGGGGCCGCCAGGCACAGGGAGGGAAGGAAGCUGGGGAGGAGUUCUCAGGCCUCCUCCCACCUCUCCUAUCACCUCUUCUGCCAUCUCGUCCCUUCUGUAUUAUUCUUUUCUUCUUCCCCUCCUUUUCUACAGCUGAUGUUGUAUUAGCAGAGGCCCAGUCACACCAGCUGAAUGAAGGAGAAAUGGCAACUUCAGAAGUGGUCAAAGAAAAUCAUAUUCCCCUUAUUCAGAAGAACAAGAGGAUGUUUAACCUGGAAGAGACAUAAUAAUCAAUCAAACAACAAGCAUGUAAGUAUCUAUCAUGUACUAGGCACUAUGUUAAAAGCAUCAUUGUUGACUUCAAAUAUUUGAAGGACUGUUAUAUGGAAGAGG
rnacentral:lncRNA from 1 species